GAUGAACGCUGGCGGCGUGCCUAAUACAUGCAAGUCGAGCGAACGGACGAGAAGCUUGCUUCUCUGAUGUUAGCGGCGGACGGGUGAGUAACACGUGGAUAACCUACCUAUAAGACUGGGAUAACUUCGGGAAACCGGAGCUAAUACCGGAUAAUAUUUUGAACCGCAUGGUUCAAAAGUGAAAGACGGUCUUGCUGUCACUUAUAGAUGGAUCCGCGCUGCAUUAGCUAGUUGGUAAGGUAACGGCUUACCAAGGCAACGAUGCAUAGCCGACCUGAGAGGGUGAUCGGCCACACUGGAACUGAGACACGGUCCAAACUCCUACGGGAGGAAGCAGUAGGGAAUCUUCCGCAAUGGGCGAAAGCCUGACGGAGCAACGCCGCGUGAGUGAUGAAGGUCUUCGGAUCGUAAAACUCUGUUAUUAGGGAAGAACAUAUGUGUAAGUAACUGUGCACAUCUUGACGGUACCUAAUCAGAAAGCCACGGCUAACUACGUG
rnacentral:rRNA from 1 species